GUCAAUGAUGGUGAAGGUAAUGCCAGGCUGCAACCCACAUCACCCAGCUGGGGCUAAAGUCCCGAGCAGCUCCAUGUCCCCCUGGAGGUUUGGGUGAUGAUGGGGAAGCGGCGUCGCGAGGUCAGGUGGCUACUGCUCAGGUCCACACCUGGAGGCAUCACUGCUGGCCUUGGCCACCACCCCUGGCGAAGUGCUUCAGGUCCCUGCCAGCAUCAGAGGAGGAUGAGGGCUGCCUUGCACCCACCCCACGGGCUCCCAGCCCCCACUGGCCCCCAGGGACUCUGGUAAGGCCUUCAGGGAAAUCAGAGACUCCUCUGGAGAUGGUUUUUUUUAUUUUCCAUGUACUGGUGGGUAUUUCCAAGGCAAGGUAGUGUGAUACAGGCAGGCAGAUAUUAGUCACCGCUGCAGACUUUAAAAAGUGAAAACAUGAAGUUGAAAGCUACCAAACCUACUUCCCAAAUCCUACCUGAAAAGUAGUAAAACUCACUUAAAAAGGCACAAAAAAAGUAAAAGUUCCAGCUUUGCUUCCUUGGGUCUGUUUUUUGUUGUUGGUGGUGGUGUUUUUGGAGAAACAUCAUGCUUUAUUCUGAGAAAGAGGAAGCGCUGGGGCCAUUGGCUCUGCGGGGCUGUGCAUCUCCCAUGGGUGCCCCUUGGGAGAGCAAAGAUAGGGGGUGAGCCCCAGCACCCCUGGUGGCAUUGGGCAAUGCAACAGUGAUGCUGAGGUUUCUGUGGCAGGGCCAGGACGUGCAGGAGGAGACACAUGGGUGAUACAGGAGAGGAGAAGCCUCCCCUUAUCCUCACCCUCCGCCCUGUUAGGGCUUUGCACGGAUGGGUUUGGGCACAGGGCUGAUCCCCACUUCUGCACAGCCACAUCCCGCCGGUGAGCUUGGUCUCAGCUGCACCCAAAAAGACACACCGGCCAUAGCGGCUCUUUUCUUUAUUUAACCCUCCCCGACCCCAGGAUGGAGGAGCCACUUCCACAUUUUCUGCCGGCCAUGGCCAAAAAGCACUGGAGCCGUUUCUGCUCUCCCUGCCCAGCCGGUCUCACUUGCAGAUGCUCAAACCACACGCACCUUUGCCCAGCCCGGCCCAACACAGAUGGACACGGCUAAAAAUACCUACAAACACCGCCUGGCCACAGGCGUCUUGCGAGGGUCUCACAGCCAGAGCAGCUGGGACCGAGAGGACAGGCUAAAAAUAGGGGUGCGGUGUGCGUUUCAGAAGAUCCCGAAACAUAAGGUGAAACUCGGUCCGGGUUAGCGGAAGAGCUGAGUGUGUCGAAGGGCUUAUUUCUGCUCAGAAGGGCUCAGCAGGAGAAACGUGGGAGCCUGGUAGAUCUUGUGCAUGGACUUAGUGGGCUAUCACCAUCACCUCCGUGCAUCACCCGUGCUUGCUGUCUGGAGUCACCGCCCAUGCAAGGGGCUGCCUUCUUGGGGACCAGAGGUGCUAAACCUUUGUCGUACACACAAAUUUUCUUUGGGGGAUGAAAAACUGGAGGUUUGGCUCCCUUGCUUCGUCCAGCUGGUGUAGGCUUGCAUGCAGCCCAGAAUCCCCCUGUAGCUGCACGCAUGCCUGACAGAGUCUGUGCAAAUCAGCUGAGCCCCAUCCUGCCCCAGAGGAUGCUCAAGCCCUUCACCCUUUUAUAAGGACGGCAGCUGGAGCAGGGGCAAAUCUUUCUCUGAUGUUUCCAGCCAUGGGCCACGAGUGGCAUUCCUGAAGGUGUGUGGUCCUGUCCAGGUCCCCUCAACCCACCACCGAGCUCAGGGGAGACCAUCGCAGCCCUGUCCCCACCAGCCUUGCACAAACCGCUGGUCCUUCUCCUUCCUUGCACUGGGUGAAAUCAGAGCUGUUAUUUCAAAGAGCAGCUUGUGAUUUAUCACUGUAAUCUCAACCACAAGUUGAGCUGGAGUAGUUAGGGGAGCCACGAGGAAUGAGAGAGAAGGGUUAGCUAUUAAUUUCUGCAUCCUCUAUGCUCUUGAGGUUUUUAUUUCUUCUGUGCAAGAGCAAGGAAAUAUGGGUUUCUGCUGAGUAAAGAGGAGAAAAUGAAAAGGAAAAAAAAUUGCCCAGGAUUUGUGCUGAAGUAGCUCAUGUUGGGCCGUUUCUUUGCAUAAUAUUAAAAAAACACCCAGCUUUCUGAACUUUGAAAGCUGAGGUCAUUGCAGAAACCGGAGGCACCAGUCCUUUCUCAGCAAGGGUAACAACCUGGGAAGGGGAGCGGGGUUGUGCUGGUGGGUCCAUGGGCAGAGCUGGGUGCGGUUUCUUCUCUCUUUCUGCCUUUCCCCCUUGUCCAUAAGUCACUUUUACAGCUCUCAGCAGUCAGGCUGGAAAGCGCAGCUUUGCGCCGAUGUUAAUGAGUCUUUAAAUCAAAGGGGCAGCGCAAGGGUUGUGUUGGCCAAAUGAAGCCUUGCAUCUCUUUGCAGAAAGGGCCAGGCUGGGGAUGCACAGCUCGGGGUGUCAGAGGUACAGAAAACUCCCAAACACUGACUGGCUGUGAGAAGAAAAGGCUGUUUUCCAGGCUUGCUGCAGACUGCGGAGGAGUCAGACAGCAUUUUAACUCGGUCUGAGGAAAUGACAAAGCAUUAACUCCCCUGGAAGGAAAGGAGGAAGAAACAGAUGGAGACGCUGCUUCUGAGCUAAAAAUACUGUUUAGAGAAGGACAUCUGCAGUGCGGCUUUGAAUGCCAAGGUCCUCAGUGUUUGGGCUGUUCUACUUCAGAUGUCACCUCCUGACGUUGGGAGAGGUAGGAAGACUGGAAAUGAAAGUGAAAGAUUGUAGCCAUUCCCUUUUCCCUGGAAAUACUUCAUUCAGCUUCAUGGGUUGCAACGAAAUGGAAAGGAAAUCUCAUUUUCAACUUGUGAUGCAGGGCAGGGGACACCCCCGAGCUGGCCCUCCCAGUCUGGGAUCCCCGUGCGGUGGAUCUGGACUGGCACCAGCUGCUGGAGGCCUUAUGGGGAUGUGGGAGUUGCCAAGAAGUCUGAUGAGCCAUUCAUAAAACUUCUGGGAGAGUAUUUGUGAAAGCCAAGCAUUCCGCCCCCACCCAGCAUCGAAUAAGUGACCUUUGUCUUGUCUUUUAUUUUCACUUUCGAGCUCUUGCCUUCCAGAGGUCAAGCAGUUUAUAAAACUUGGCAGCAUUAAAGAGGCAGGAUUAAUCCUCCCAGUUAUUUUAUCUUGCUGGCCACCAUGUUAUCUUGCUUUUGCCAGGGUUAGUAAUUACGCAAAAAAAAAAAAAAAUGUUCCAAAAUGCCGCAAGUCAGACCCCAGAGAACCCAGGAAAUUUGUGUUAAAAAGCACAAUCUUUGCAAAAAUACCCUUUUUCAUCUUUGCCUCUCCAUUUGGAGAGUCUUUGCAGUUCUUGUUUUUCAAAAAAAGGAACAAUUCUGAUGUAACGACAGGAGUCCAGGAGCUGGAGAUUUAUGGGGGAAAAAAAUAACAAGUAUUGUACAGCUCAUCGUAAAGCGGUAAGAAACCACCUGUGCUUCCCUCAGGCCUUGUUAAAUCAGCUCUGCAAGAAGGCACUGUCGCUUUGCUUCUUGAAUAUGGUUUGUUUUAUAAGAUUAUAUCCAUCUGGGGCAAAGGAGUGGGCGAGCUGGGCCAUAAACCUCCAUCAACUAUAACACGUCCCUGUUAUUUAACCCCUAAUUAUUUAACCCCUAUAGUAGGAUGCGGUAUCUCUUAUCAGGGGUGAGUGGGAACACCACCUCCCCCGUGCACUGAUAGCAGCAACACCCCCUCAUCCGGAGUUAAACAUUAAUGAGCUGUCACAAUGCUGGAUUACCAGGAAUCUGUUGAGCUAAGGUCAUCCUUAGGGAUGAAUGAUGAAGUUUAUUUUAAAUAUCUGUGGGAUAUGGUGGGUCAGGGCUUGGAGGGAAGACUCACGCGAGUGUCAGCAGUCCCUACCACGGCUGAGGUCUCUCUUGGCUAAUGUCAAGGCUUCAUCAGACUUCUUGCUUUGGUCUUGUGGUCCAGCGGCUGCUUCCUUCCAGAUGUUUAAAGGAAAAAAGCCAGAGAGGCAGGGGGAAGGCUUGGUUUCUGAAAGCCCUUUCAGCGCUGCCUUUAUUGCUGCUAAUGGUGUGGCACAUGGUAUUCUUGUUGUUCACGUGAACCUCUUCAGAUGGUGGCUCCAUCUGAAAGGGUGUGUGGCAGUGAGCUCCCCCGUCUAAUUACCUCUGCCAAGCAAAAGUGCUGCCCUUUGGGGGUGGGGGUUAAUUUCCCAUCUAUUCCUUUCACCUAAUGGCUCCUUGUGCUUAGAGUACAAGCCAUGAAAACAACUCUUAAUCUACCUCCUGCCUCCCACCAAUUAUUGAAUACCUGGAUUUUAUUCCUUCUCGUUUGUCUUUCUAACUACCCUAAUUUUUCCAGUUUCUCUCAUCAGCGUUUUCCCAAGCUCUUUAUUGUUUUCUGAUUGCUGUAAUUCUGCAAUAUCUUUUGGCACUAAAGCACGGCUCCCCAGAGGAAGAGGCUCAUGAAUUUAUACAGCGACAUUAUGCAGGCUUUUCAGAUGAGUCUUGGGGCUGAUUUGGAUGCCCAGAAAGGCUCCUUCUGUUCCUGCCUCUCCUGUCGCUUCAUCCCUUUAAUGAGCGGAUGCGCAGAAAUUAGAAAGUAGAAAUUGCUCAAGCAGUUUGCUAUAAAGAGCCAUGAAAGUCUGGGUCAAAAAUUUUGGAGACUAAAUGCUUGGUCUCCUCCAUCCUUCCUCACUCUCUACACCUCUGACUCGGCAGGGCACUUCUCUCUUCAUUUGUCAAGACAAGAGUUUCAGCCUGGGAGGAAAUUUUCCCCGUGGUACUAAUUUUUUCUUCUUCUUGCAACUGAAGCACAUUUGAGAAUUUGUUCCUGAAACUUCCCAUGUUCUAAUUUUACAUGACGGGGCUGUCAGAAGCAGCGCACGAGAGAAACAAGAUCUCCUCCACAGCUUUGGGGUGACUGUGCCGCCUUAGGAGGGAUGAAACUCAGAGGCUUUUCCCCUGCUCAUUAAUGCCAAAUUUCCUACCUUGGCUCCAGGGAUUUUAUGUGACAAAGACUCAGCCUGAGCCCAACACGACAUUCGACAUCGGUUAAAUCCUCUUUAAGUGAUACUACCUCUUUUUUCUCACCUGGCAGAGGAAUCUGCCUUCUGAGCAAACACUUGAAUGAAAUACGUUGGGGUGCUGAGAAUAAACACGUUCCCUGGGAACUUAUUUAUCUUACAGGGCUGCCCCAGAUUAAGGAUCAGGUGAGACAGGAGCCAAACAUUGCUCUAGGGCUGCUUCAGGCAACCUUUUCUUUCCUCUUCCAGUAAUUGUUUCUUUUCCAGUCCGAGAGUGGAAUUAAAAAAAAGAGUCGCAAAUUACAACAAGAGAUUCCGCUUGCGAAAUAUUCUGCAGUUUUUGAAAGGCAAGAGCACGCAGCUGCACGGUAAGUGCUGGUGGGUGGAUUGAGAUGCACACACUCAUGUCAGGAUCUGGUGACUUGCACUGAUCAGAGAUCAGUGUUUAGGUCCCUGAUUCUUCAUGACUGUUCCUGCUAGCUCAUCCCACUUGAAAAGACCUGAUAUUUGCAAAUCCUGUCGCUGGUGAGAACAGCUAGUGCUUCCUAAAGGUCCUCCAGGCAGAACGCUCAAGGACAGAGUGGGCAAGUGGUUUCCUUUAUGGCUUGUUAGUUAUCUGCCUUAUCUGCCUCCUCACGAGUGCAGGAUAAGAUGAGCAAAGACUAAUGUGUAAUUACUUGGCUGGGAACCAGGAGGGGCUCAGAGAAAACAUCUGAAAAUCCAAACAUCUUCAGUUCUGGGAAGGUUUGUGUUGGCACCUGGUGGUGGGGUUUGAACUCUGUUGAAUGUCAGCUAGAACCUGCAGCGUGAAUUUGCAAAUGAACCUCACAGCAAGGUUCAGUCGUGAAUUGAUGGAUGUGGGCUUGGGGUGUUGCAGUCCCAAGGGCUUUGAGGCUGAGGUCUGUAAAUGUCGUCUACUACCCACGAACAGAAAUCAGUGUCUAUCUGCUCCCACGAUUAUUGGUGGGAGGAGGAAGACCUCCUGGACUGAGGUCUCUCUGUUAGCAUUUUUCUCUCAUGCUAGUUCAACAAGAGCAACAUGGCUCCAACUCAAGGCCAAGCCUUGGCAGUCUUCCCAGAACCACAACCAGGAUCAGUCAUGGUGCCCAAUACUGUUUUCCUGGCCCCUAAUUAGUUGGUUUACAUUAGCACAGAUGUUCGGGGUGUCUGAUGGCACAUCCGCCGUUGCUCUUCAUGUCUCAUCACUCAGAAGCCUGCUGGGGCUCCAUUUUUUGGAGCCCACAAGUGUCAUCCCCUUCUGCCUGAUGAGUUUUUUCCUCUUUUCUGGCCCCGUGGUGUGUUGACAGAAGCAGGUCAUGGGACAACCUCUCACGUGGAAUGAACCGACUGCAUCUUGGUGCAGUCCAUUCUCACCUUUUUUUCCCUCAGAGCGGCCAGAUUACGACCAUAAAAGGGAAAAACGGAAUAUUGGGCGCAGAGCCCUGCGCCCAUUGGCUGAGCACCCGUUCGCAACGGUUUCGGGGGAAAUAACCAGGUCGGAGUAAUUUUUGGGCCAAGAAUAAAAACAAUGCAACAAAGCCAUGUGGUUCACCAUUGAAACCAAGGCAGGACUUUCGGUGUCGGUGCCUCCUGUUGUUCUUGGUUCCACCUGCGUGAAACUGCAGCAGGGCCCUCACUUCCACAUGGGCACAGUGUCUCAGCCGCACGCAGGUCCUGCUUCCCGUAAAACAGCUCUGCAGCCAUGACCAGCUGAUGUCACCUAGGGUAACAUCUGGUGUUGAACUGGAAGGAUCUGGUGGCCAGGUUGGCCGGGAACCAGAACUGCAACCACCUUCUGUCAACCCAUAAACCAUCUCUGCAGCCAUGACCAGCUGAUGCCACCUAGGGUAACGUCUCCUGGAGGUGAACUGAAAGGAUCUGGUGGCCAGGCUGGCCAGGAACCAGAGCUGCACACACCUCCUGUCAACCUGGUGGCCUUCUGAGUUGGGAAAGCCCAAGCACCAGCUUCCUGUGGUUGGAUACCUAUAUCCAUGCCUGAAAACCAGCAGAACAAAGUACCUUCAUGCCUGAACAUGUCUUCCACCCAACCCUUGUGAGACCAUUUGCAUAGUUAAAAACAGGACUUUAACCUCCUGAGACACUCGCCUAAAAUGUGCCACCAGCUCUGAGUUACAAGAUUUAAUAAAUACAAUAAAAAAAGUCUGAGAGGGUUUCCUGGAAACUUUGGCAGCCUUGCCUUGGGAGCAGAGCAGAUGUUGGCAGCAAGCAAAGUUCUUGUAAGCUGUAAAGUAAUUUUCCUAUUUAAUGGUUAGCUUGAGAAAUCUGAUGGCUGGAUUAGGGUAUUUGUGCUCAGGCACAUGGAGAGCUGAAGUAUCAGCUUCACCCCUUCUGGGAAGGCCACGCCUGUGUAAAUUCUUCACUUGUUGCCUUCAUCCAAUAAGAACAAGAUGGUUUUACGGUUAAUGCUGUUCUUGGAGUUGGAAUUGGGCUCCUGUCACUGAGCCGAUUUCUGCCUUGCCUUGUGUGCUGAGGGUGGCAGCUGGGCCAUCUGCAACAGGGAGCGUCUCUUCUGGAAGGCAAACCCAACUGCCUGCAGAAUGAGCCAGCAGCCUGGCCACCAUGCUGGAGGAUGUUUGCAUUAAUCACCUCCCAGAAGAAGUGUCUGGCAGCCUUUGGUUCCUUCCUUAAACUGAAACAGGGUGUUGGUCCCCCCUCGCUGGCUGCUCCAGGCAGCAUCAAGUUGAUAAUCUGCUCAUUUGGCGAGUCUGUCCAAGUCCAGGGAUGAUGAGCCUUGCAGGUGGCUGCGCAGAUGCCGCAGCUGGCUCUUUUCAUCCCUUGCUUCAACUUUCCUCCCCAUUCCUCCUUGCAUGCUCCCUUCCCUCCCAGUCUCCUCCCUUUCCUCCAGGCAACUUGUUUUGGAUAAGCACUGAUGAUGCUGUAGAUGCUCCUGCACCAUCACCCCACCUCUCCCUCUUCAUCAGGCCCCUUCCUCUGCUCUUGCCCCAGUCCCAGGUACCUUUUGCUGUUCCGCAGUAGCAGUGCCUGGGUUCUCCUCACUCCACCACUUGCUGCAAUUUCUCUGCCUGUUACCACUGCAGCUAUUUCUUCAGUGGUGACCGCAGUGGUGAGCCCCAGGACCUAUCGCAGCAUCACAAGUCAUGGUGUUGGCCCCACAAAACCAGAGGGGAAGCACAGUGCCUUACUCAUUGGCAUCGGAGUGAUGCUACCCCACCGCCUCCUUCCCAGCGGGCAGUGGUUUGGGGAGAAGGGGAAGAGGUGGCUGUGUUCAUAUCAGGGCAGAGUGCCUGCUCCGUGGGGCUGGUCUCCUCCAUGGCCAUCCACCCAACAUCUUGGGGCUCUGCGAAACCAGCCUGGGCUGCAAGAGCCACAGUCCAGAUAAAGCAUCUUUUGCAAGUCUGGGAUGAAGGUGGUGUUUGAAGGUUUGUUAUCAGCGUGGUUCAGGGUAACGCUGGUGGUAAAGCAGCUUUGAAAAUUGCAGCGGGGACUUGGGUAGAACCAGCCCAACCAGAAGUUGCUGCUUGCUCCAUUUUAGUACAUAGACUUGAAUCAUCAGGUCCUUGGGUCUAAACUACGCUGUUCUGCAGUAUACGUGAAAAAACUUGCUGGAAGUACCGCUUAAGCACUAUGUGUAUUUCAGAUAUACCCUUCUCCUUGGAGAAUAAUACCGCCCCAGAGCAGAGUUGUGCUGAUGUCCCCAUUGUGCAGACAGCAAACAGAGGCCAGGGGACACGGCAGGAUUUACCCCAGGCUGCAAAGGAAGCCUGUGGCAGAAGCACAGUGAGUCUGCCUCCAGCUCCCAGCCUAAGCAGGCUCUAGUCUCCCAGACCACAGGUUUCCUUUCCAGCCCCUCAGCCCUAACCCCAAACCAGCCUGCAGAGAGCAAGAGGGAAUUGCACAAACCCCUUGGCUGCACUUCAGAGAAUGUCCCUGAGUACCACCUGGGUACCCCUGGGAUAGUGGCAAGCCCAAGUCCCAGGCGCAGCCCAGAUCCUGUGCAAGGGACACCUGGCCCUGCUCCAAGCAGCCAGGGAGAGUGAGCUAGAAGCUCUUAAGGAUAAUACAGAUCCUUCAAAAGGCAGUAUCCCUUAUCAAAGGGCCACUUUUCCCCAGCAGGAUGGGGACACUGCCACCAUGCUGGGCGACACAUUGCACAGCGCCUGCAGACGGGCAAUAAAGCCAAGCAAGAUGCAGCAGGGCUAACUACAACAGGCAAAUGAGCAUUGAAAAAAAUAAUAAUAAUAAAAAAAAAGCUUUAAAUACAUGACAGCUUGGUUGAGUCCCUGUUCCUGUAUUUGCUUAGCUGAGGGCUAUCUUUAUAAGACCUCGCUACCAGAUGUUCCUGCAUUUGCAUGUGGGGUGAAGGGAAGGGAUGCUCAGCAGGUCCCAGGGGUGCUGGCUCAGUGCUGGAGCCAGAUGGCGAUUGCCACCCAGUGGCUGUGCGCGCCACGCUGCCUUUCUGCCUUGCAAAGUCCCUAAAAAUAAAGCAUCACUUCUGCAAGCGCAGAUCUUUUUGGCAGCUGAAGCUGUUGCUUUUCUCUUCAUUAGCGAUGGUGAAGCCUGCAGCACAGUCGGUUUGUUC